rnacentral:rRNA from 1 species
UGAACGCAGCGACAGGCCUAACACAUGCAAGUCGAGGGGCAGCACAAGGAGCAAUCUGAGGUGGCGACCGGCGCACGGGUGAGUAACACGUAUGCAACCUGCCUGUAAGCGGGGAAUAACCCGUUGAAAGACGGACUAAUACCGCAUAAUACUAAAUUACUGCAUGGUAAUUUAUUUAAACAUUUAUGGCUUACAGAUGGGCAUGCGCAUGAUUAGCUAGUUGGAGAGGUAACGGCUCCCCAAGGCAACGAUCAUUAGGGGUUCUGAGAGGAAGGUCCCCCACACUGGUACUGAGACACGGACCAGACUCCUACGGGAGGCAGCAGUGAGGAAUAUUGGUCAAUGGACGAGAGUCUGAACCAGCCAAGUCGCGUGCAGGAAGAAUGUCCCUAUGGAUUGUAAACUGCUUUUGCAGGGGAAUAAAGUGCAUCACGUGUGAUGUUUUGUAUGUACUCUGCGAAUAAGGAUCGGCUAACUCCGUGCCAGCCGCGGC